rnacentral:lncRNA from 1 species
GAGGGAGACAGAGACAGAGACAGAAUGUGUGUGUGUGAGUGUGUGUGUGAGUGUGAGAGAGACAGAGACAGAAUGUGUGUGUGUGAGUGUGUGUGUGUGUGUGAGUGAGUGUGAGAGAGAGAGAGACAGAGACAGAAUGUGUGUGUGUGAGUGUGUGUGUGAGUGUGAGUGUGUGAGUGUGUGUGCACUUUGCUGACUCCCAGGGAGGUCCGAUUGCACAGCCUGUCCCGGGCCAUCUAUUUAUAGCGGCUGCCAGCCCGAGCCGGGCCCGCCGGGAGACAAGUGAGGAGUCAAGCAGCAGGGAUAAAGUUCUCCUUGCCCCCAAAACCCCCAGUCUCAACAUCCUGCCGCCCUAAAUCCGGCAGAAACCUCUGUCCCAGGGGAGCUGCUAGAGAAGCAACUAAAAAUGGCCCGAAGAUCCUCAGAAACCCCUUUCCCUUCUCAAAGCAUCAGUCCCUGUCUGUCCCAGCCUUCCCUUUAUCCUACCUAAAAUAGGUAGGAUAGCCUGGUCGGAGACAGCAGGAGAAACACUAACUGUGUGAACUUAGAUUCAGGGACAAAAUCUUUUUCACCUUUGAACGAAAGCAACCAACUGGGUGUUGCUGGUGGUCCUGGUGAUAAUGGGGGUGAUGGUGGCUCUCUCAGCUCCCUGACGCUCUAUGUUUCAGCAGCUUUCCGCACUACAGAUCCCAAGGUGCCCAUCCUGUGGGACACUUGGCCAACGCUUCCACAAGGCACACUCUCAGCAUCCUCACUUUCCCUGACAAAACAGUAGAACACGAGGCUGUGGACGUUCUAUAAUACCUCAUUAUGAUGUAAUUCUGGAUUCUCAAAUGCUGUACUAACCGAGCACAAGUUUGGAGGAAAGACUUCAGGUAUAGUCUUUUUUUUUUUUUUUUUUUUACUUUUGGAAAAUCAUGUGUUUAUUCAUGGUUUUAGUCAAUCACAUAACACUCAAUCACAUAAGAUACAGAUUAUAACAUUGAUUAAUCUUAGCCAUAAUUUAUAAUAAACGUUUAUCUUUGAUUCUUUUUUUUUUUUUUAAUUUUUUUUUUUAUUUAAUAGCCUUUUAUUUACAGGAUAUAUACAUAGGUAACUUUACAGCAUUAACAAUUGCCAAACCUCUUGUUCCAAUUUUUCACCUCUUACCCCCACCCUCCCUAAAUGUCAGGAUGACCAGUAGAUGUUAAAAUAUAUUAAAAUAUAACUUAGAUACACAAUAAGUAUACAUGACCAAAACAUUAUUUUGCUGUACAAAAAGAAUCAGACUCUGAAUUAUUGUACAAUUAGCUUGUAAAGGAAAUCAAAAAUGCAGGUGUGCAUAACUAUAGGGAUUGGGAAUUCAAUGUAAUGGUUUUUAGUCAUCUCCCAGAGUUCUUUUUCUGGGCAUAGCUAGUUCAGUUCAUUACUGCUCCAUUAGAAAUGAUUUGGUUGAUCUCGUUGCUGAGGAUGGCCUGAUCCAUCAGAACUGGUCAUCAUCUAGUAUUGUUGUAGAGGUAUAUAAUGAUCUCCUGGUCCUGCUCAUUUCACUCAGCAUCAGUUCGUGUAAGUCUCUCCAGGCCUUUCUGAAAUCAUCCUGUUGGUCAUUUCUUACAGAACAGUAAUAUUCCAUAAUUUUCAUAUACCACAAUUUAUUCAGCCAUUCUCCAACUGAUGGACAUCCAUUCAGUUUCCAGUUUCUAGCCACUACAAAAAGGGCUGCCACAAACAUUCGUGCACAUACAGGUCCCUUUCCCUUCUUUAUAAUCUCUUUGGGAUAUAAUCCCAGUAGUAACACUGCUGGAUCAAAGGGUAUGCACAGUUUGAUAACUUUUUGAGCAUAGAUCCAAACUACU